rnacentral:hammerhead_ribozyme from 1 species
AUCCGACUGACGAGUCCCAAAUAGGACGAAACAUGCGCCAAACUGGAU